rnacentral:sRNA from 1 species
GAUGUCCUGACACUGUCCAGCAGCACAGAAAGUGAGGGGGAAAGUGGGACCAGCCGAAAGCCCACUGCUGGUCAGACUUCGGCUACAGCGGUUGACAGUGAUGAUAUCCAGACCAUCUCCUCUGGCUCUGAAGGGGAUGACUUUGAGGACAAGAAGAACAUGACUGGUCCAAUGAAGCGUCAAGUGGCAGUAAAAUCAACCCGAGGCUUUGCUCUUAAAUCAACCCAUGGGAUUGCAAUUAAAUCAACCAACAUGGCUUCUGUGGACAAGGGGGAGAGCGCACCUGUUCGUAAGAACACACGCCAAUUCUACGAUGGCGAGGAAUCUUGCUACAUCAUCGAUGCCAAGCUUGAAGGCAACCUGGGCCGCUACCUCAAUGUGAGACCCCUCUCCCUACCUCUAGAUGCUGGAUUAUCCCAUGGUCCUCAGAUUUCUUUUAACAUACUCUCUAAGCCCACCUUUUCUUGUUAUAAACUCUUGAUCUCAAA